UAUCCCAAAGGGAAGGUGCACAGCGGCAGUGAAGGCUGAUCAGGACAGUGAGCACAUGGCCUGUCACUGGGGGACAAUCCAGGAAAAAAUGGCAAGAGAAGCAUGGCCCUAGGAAAAUGUCACAACAGCAUGCACACUGGGCUGCCCAAGGUUCUUCUGUCCUGCACAGCUUCAUGGCUCUCAAAACAGGCAGUGGUGUCAGCUUCUGCUUGCUCAGCCUUCCUUCCUGGCUCUGUCAUGGGAGCUGUAGACCCAGAGAACAAUCAGACAAAUCUCUACCCUCAGGAACUCUUGAUCUGAUGGGGAAACCACCACAUAAUUAGUCGAUGACAACAUGGAAGUUGUGUGACAGCAAUCCCCAGGACUAGGGGAUCCCAGAGCUAGGCCCAACCUGGGCUCAGGCUGUGGUGGACUGAACACAAGGCCAUAUUUUACAGACAAUCUCCUCAAAGAGAGUCUAUUUCCU
rnacentral:lncRNA from 1 species